rnacentral:rRNA from 1 species
AUACGUAGGUGACAAGCGUUAUCCGGAUUUACUGGGUGUAGAGGGCGUGUAGGCGGUUUAGCAAGUCAGAAGUGAAAUUCCCGGGCUUAACUUGGGCGCUGCUUCUGAAACUGCUUUACUUGAGUGCUGGAGAGGAUAGUGGAAUUCCUAGUGAAGCGGUAAAAUGCGCAGAUAUUAGGAGGAACACCGGUGGCGAAGGCGGCUAUCUGGACAGUAACUGACGCUGAGGCGCGAAAGCACGGGGAGCAAACAGGAUUAGAUACCCUGGUAGUCCGUGCCGUAAACGAUGAAUACUAGGUGUAGGGGGUAUCGACUCCCUCUGUGCCGCAGUUAACACAUUAAGUAUUCCACCUGGGGAGUACGGCCGCAAGGUUGAAACUCAAAUGAAUUGACGGGG